AUGGUGAAGAUCUGCUGCAUCGGAGCUGGCUAUGUCGGCGGCCCAACAAUGGCUGUCAUUGCCGUCAAGUGCCCAGCAAUUGAGGUUGUUGUUGUUGACAUCUCCAAGCCUCGCAUUGACGCUUGGAACAGCGACAAACUCCCGAUCUACGAGCCUGGCCUUGACGAGGUUGUCAAGGCGUGCAGGGGCAAGAACCUCUUCUUCAGCACUGAUGUCGAGAAGCACGUUGCUGAGGCCGACAUCAUCUUUGUCUCAGUGAACACCCCCACCAAGACCCGUGGUCUGGGAGCCGGCAAGGCUGCCGACCUCACCUACUGGGAGAGCGCUGCCCGUAUGAUCGCCGACGUGUCCAAGUCUGACAAGAUCGUCGUUGAGAAGUCCACUGUCCCUGUCAAGACCGCAGAGGCCAUCGAGAAGAUCUUGACCCACAACAGCAAGGGCAUCAACUACCAGAUCCUCUCCAACCCGGAGUUCCUGGCCGAGGGCACAGCUAUCGAGGACCUGUUCAAGCCUGACAGAGUGCUUAUCGGUGGCCGGGAGACCCCCGAGGGCAGGAAGGCGGUUCAGGCUCUCAAGGAGGUGUACGCCCACUGGGUUCCUGAGGAGAACAUCAUCACCACCAACCUGUGGUCUGCUGAGCUCUCCAAGCUCGCUGCCAACGCUUUCUUGGCCCAGAGGAUCUCCUCCGUGAAUGCCAUGUCCGCGCUCUGCGAAGCCACCGGCGCCAACGUGUCCGAGGUGUCUUACGCCAUCGGUAAGGAUUCCAGGAUCGGCCCCAAGUUCCUGAACGCCAGCGUUGGGUUUGGCGGGUCCUGUUUCCAGAAGGACAUCUUGAACCUGGUGUACAUCUGCGAGUGCAACGGCCUCCCGGAGGUGGCCAAUUACUGGAAGCAGGUGAUCAAGAUCAAUGACUACCAGAAGAGCAGGUUCGUCAACCGUGUCGUGUCCUCCAUGUUCAACACCGUCUCCGGCAAGAAGGUCGCCAUCCUCGGGUUUGCCUUCAAGAAGGACACCGGUGACACCAGGGAGACCCCGGCGAUCGACGUGUGCAAGGGCCUGCUGGGUGACAAGGCCCAUGUCAGCAUCUACGAUCCCGAGGUCACUGAGGACCAGAUCCAGCGGGACCUUGCCAUGAACAAGUUCGACUGGGACCACCCCAUGCACCUGCAGCCGGCGAGCCCAUCGGCUAUAAAGCAGGUGAGCGUGGUGUGGGACGCGUACGAGGCCACCAAGGGAGCCCACGCCGUGUGCAUCCUGACCGAGUGGAACCAGUUCAAGGAGCUGGACUACCAGAAGAUCUUCGACAACAUGCAGAAGCCGGCCUUCAUCUUCGACGGGCGCAAUGUCGUCGACGCCGAGAAGCUCAGGGGGAUCGGCUUCAUCGUCUACUCCAUCGGCAAGCCGCUCGAUGCGUGGCUCAAGGACAUGCCCGCGAUCGCCUAG
rnacentral:rRNA from 1 species